rnacentral:rRNA from 1 species
AGAUUGAACGCUGGCGGCAUGCCUUACACAUGCAAGUCGAACGGUAGAGGGAGCAAUCCUUCGAGAGUGGCGAACGGGUGAGUAAUAUAUCGGAACGUGCCCAGUCGUGGGGGAUAACGUAGAGAAAUUUACGCUAAUACCGCAUACGAUCUAAGGAUGAAAGCGGGGGACCUCGCAAGGGGCCUCGCGCGAUUGGAGCGGCUGAUAUCAGAUUAGGUUGUUGGUGAGGUAAAAGCUCACCAAGCCGACGAUCUGUAGCUGGUUGAGAGAACGACCAGCCACACUGGGACUGACGACACGG